GAAAUAAAUUCUUUGGAUAAUAAGGUUUGUGUCUGGGAUGCAUGUAGAGGCUUGGAGUUAAAGGUGAACAAUCUGAUAUCAUCCUUAACGGGAAUAUUGGAGCAGCAAAAUUCUGCAGUCAGAGAGACAUGAUACCAGGUCAAGAAGGUGAUGAGAAUUUUUGCAGAAAUCAGCCAAAUGUAGGCUGUCUUGGAAUUUUCUUAUGGAGAAAAUCACAGGAACAGAGCUCCUUUAAUAAAGUCAAUUGAACAUCUGCUUGAAAUUCUAGAUAAAAAACAAGUUCAGCUACAAACAAUACUGAAAAGUAAAUACGUGGUGUAUUUCAUUGAACAAAUGAAAGGUUGACAAAAUAAAUUAAAUGUGGCAGAUUCUGUCAUUUCCAUUUGGAUGGAAGUUCAAUGCACGUGGGCUCAUCUAGAAAGUAUUUUCAUUUUCUCUGAUGAUAUCAGAAGCCAUUUGCCUGAAGAUGUACACAGACUUGAUGAAAUCAAUACGGGCUUCAGAACUUCCUCUUUGGGAAAAAUCCCUGGGUGGAUAUUUAGAAACCAAGCACAUAAUGUUUCCUCACUUAUAUUUUGUUUCUUCAACAGACUUGCUAGCUAUUCUUCCAAUAGGAACACAGCCAGAACAGACCAUGAAUACUGAAUCAGUAAAAUAUUGCAAAUUUCAUCUGAAGUCUUCUGUAAAUUCACUGAGGGAGUAG
rnacentral:lncRNA from 1 species